UUCUUUGUUUUGUGGUCUUGAAUAAAGACCAAGAAAAGAAGAAGAGGAAGAAGCACACCUGCCUCAUAGCUCUUCCACUCAGGACCCUUCACGAUGAAAGUCAAGUUUCACCUUGUUGAGAUGACCAUGGGGGGACUUCUACAUCCAGGUGAGACGAGAAGGACUCUGGUCCAUCUGCUGGGAAAACAACAAACUACAGUGCUGUAAAUCAAUGUCCAACCAACAACAACAGUCACUCAAAAAUGUUUAUGGUACCUUUGAGUUCUCCUCUUCCUCUUCAUCCUUUGGAUUUUCAGAGUCUGAAAAACAUCAGAAGAACAGUCACAAUGUGCAGAAUGGAGCAACAAAAUAAAUGUGACAUAUUUAAAAGUAUACAUCAACAAGUGCAGCCCAGCUUUGAUGUGUUUUCAUUGGAUUUCGUGUAAAUAAACCAGCCUCAACAUC